rnacentral:rRNA from 1 species
GAUGAACGCUGGCGGCGUGCCUAAUACAUGCAAGUCGAGCGAACAGAUGAGGAGCUUGCUCCUCUGACGUUAGCGGCGGACGGGUGAGUAACACGUGGAUAACCUACCUAUAAGACUGGGAUAACUUCGGGAAACCGGAGCUAAUACCGGAUAAUAUAUUGAACCGCAUGGUUCAAUAGUGAAAGACGGUUUUGCUGUCACUUAUAGAUGGAUCCGCGCCGCAUUAGCUAGUUGGUAAGGUAACGGCUUACCAAGGCAACGAUGCGUAGCCGACCUGAGAGGGUGAUCGGCCACACUGGAGCUGAGACACGGUCCAGACUCCUACGGGAGGCAGCAGUAGGAAAUCUUCCGCAAUGGGCGAAAGCCUGACGGAGCAACGCCGCGUGAGUGAUGAAGGUCUUCGGAUCGUAAAACUCUGUUAUUAGGGAAGAACAAAUGUGUAAGUAACUAUGCACGUCUUGACGGUACCUAAUCAGAAAGCCACGGCUAACUACGUG